rnacentral:rRNA from 1 species
ACCUACGGGACGCAGCAGUAGGGAAUCUUCCACAAUGGACGAAAGUCUGAUGGAGCAACGCCGCGUGAGUGAAGAAGGGUUUCGGCUCGUAAAGCUCUGUUGGUAGUGAAGAAAGAUAGAGGGAGUAACUGGCCAUUAUUUGACGGUAAUUAAUUAGAAAGUCACGGCUAACUACGUGCCAGCAGCCGCGGUAAUACGUAGGGGGCAAGCGUUGUCCGGAUUUAUUGGGCGUAAAGCGAGCGCAGGCGGUGUAAUAAGUCUGUUGUGAAAGC